GGACGGAGGGUGGGGGGUAGGGUGGGACCCAGCACCUAGGUCGUGUGACACUGUCCUCCUGCCUUGGCACCUCAUGCUUGGGGCUUUGGGACAUAUGUCUGUGCUCAUAACUAGGAUGCUGUGAUUCCCUUCUCUUGCCUCAUAUCUGCUCACAUAGGAGUCAAUAACAUAUUGCUGGGCCCGCCAUCCAGUUACAUUCCUUCUCUGUCAUGACCCUCUUCUCAGAAAGCAUUGCGACACACUGUUGAGUCCACAGUCAAUGUGAUGUGAGUCCCCUGCGUGAACCCUGCCCACAGAGACCAUUGUGACGUCAUGUCUGGGGACUCAACUAUUCUCAGUGAUUGUCUUGUUACCCCUGCUCUUUGCCCACAGGAGCGGAUGUGGCUUGUCUCUGGGCCCAGCACCCAGGUGAGGUAACUGUGCUCGCCUGACUGGGCUGCGCUUACAAAAGAAAGAGUGACUUGUCACCGGGCCCGGCACACAGGCGAUGCGGUCCCCUUGUCUGGGUUCUCGUCCACAGGUAUCAUCAUGACAUACUUUUGGUCUCUUCUGCUGGGUGGCCUGUGUCGCCCCCUUCUUCCUGGGAAGUGUCCACCGACACUGAAAUGGAACAUUUCACCUGACUCAGCACCUACACGACCUGUCUCUCGUAUUACGCCUUGGCUUUUCCCACCGGGCUGAUUGGGACAUACAGCUGAGCACAGCCUCUAGGCUAUUUAACUCUUCUCUUCUCACGUGGUCCUACCCACAGGAGGUAUUGGGAUAUAUUUCUAAGCACUUCACCUAGGUAAUGACCCUUUUUGGGGCUUUCCCCGGAUACGGUACGGUGACCUAUUUCUGGACCAGCACCGAGGCGAUGUCCCUCAUUUCUCCUACCUGUUGCCUGUUAGGGCAAAGGAAUUCCUAGGGGUGUGAGUCUACAGAAACCGCGAUUCUUGCCUCCUCAGGAGAAACGACUCCACCGAGGGCCGUAAAGCAGGAGAGUUUCCGAGCAGCAGUAAACGUGUAUGAAGAAGCUUCGGAAGCGGAAGAGAAGGAGGGAAAGUACGCGUGGCAGAGUGCCAAGAGGAUGACUCACAAGGCAAAAGCAGGAUGCGACCUUUCGACCUGGCGUUUUAUAUGUUGGAAUGCCUCUGGGUUGUGGUUGUUGGUCGCGGUGUUGUCUUUCUUUGUUUUUCGUUUUGUUUCGUUUUUCUUCUUUUUUUAAAAGACGGAGUCUCGCCCUCUCGCCCAGGCUGGAGUUCAAUGGCCGGAUCUCGGCUCACCGCAACCUCCACCCCUCGGGUUCCGGGUGCCUGUCGCUCAGCUCUCUGUGGCUUCCUAAGUCGUGGUGACCUGAUGACGUUCACCGUUUUCUUCCCCGAGCUCGGCGGGGAAACAGAAACUCCCAGGGAUCCGUGGAAAAGCAGCAGCGUGUCGCUGCCCUUUCUAUCCAGGUUGCCGAGACUCCCCGUGUGGCAGGAAACAGGAAUGCCUCGUCAGGCCGUCUCUGCCCGGGAGAGUUUCUGUCUCCGUGCCUUCGCUCUCGUUUUCUAGAGGAACACGAACCGGAUCCACGCAGCUGCGUGUGUGAGAGUGUCGCGGCCACGGCGACACCCACAGACGUGGACGCCUUGACGGAGAGGGGGGGCUUGGAAAACUCAGGCCUGUCACGGGGGUUCGCUUCUGCACGCCACCCUCCCUGGUGACGUGUUCGAGCCCGGAGAGAGGCUUCCAGUUUCCGUAGAAUUCCUGGAGAACCCCAGAGGUCCAGCCCCCGAAGCCCCGCGUGUCCCUCCCCCGCCGCUCAGGCCCCACCCCCGACCACCCCACAGGGCCCUGGUGUCCCUGUGGUUUCCGGCUUGAGAGGGCGGGCUACCCCGCCCUGGGUCCCCGGAGCUCAUGCAAAUUCAGGAAGGGGUGGGGCCGCUAGGUCUCUAUAAAAGCGGCCCCUGGCUGGCGGGGCCGGACUCCUGGCUUGACCUGCCUGCAGGUGCGGUGCACAGCAGAGGUUGGCUGAGGCGCGCGGGAGCCGCCGGGCCUCUGUGUGCCUGUGUCUGUCUGUGACACUCGGCCCGGUCUCCCCGCGAUGGCUCUCCCCACAGCUCCCGGCAGCCCUCUCCCGGCGGAGGCCCGAGGGCGAGGAAGGCGAAAGAGGCUCGUUUGGACUCCGAGCCAGAGGGACGCCCUGCGAGCGUCCUUUGAGCGGAACCCGUACCCGGGCAUGGCCACCAGAGAACAGCUGGCCCAGGCCAUCGGCGUUCCGGAGCCCAGGGUCCAGAUUUGGUUUCAGAACGAGAGAUCGCGCCGGCUGAGGCAGCACCGGCGGGAAUCCAGGCCCUGGCCUGGGCCACGCGGCCCGCCAGAAGGCCGGCGAAAGCGGACGGCCGUGACCCAGUCCCAGACCGCCGUGCUCCUCCGGGCCUUCGAGCGAGAGCGCUUUCCGGACUUCGCCACCAGGGAGGAACUGGCCAGAGAGACGGGCCUCCCGGAGUCCAGGAUUCAGAUUUGGUUUCAGAAUCGAAGGGCCAGGCAUCCAGGCCGGGCUGGCAGGGGACCCGCGGCCGCAGGCGGCCCGCGCGACACGGCCCCCGGCGGGCGCGGCUCCUCUGCUCGCUCCUGGGUCGCCUCCACCCACACCGGGGCGUGGGGGGCGGCGCUUCCCGCACCCCAAGUGCCCUGCGCGCCUGGGGCCCUCCCACAGGGGCCCGUCGUGAGCCAGGCAGCAGGGGCCGUGCCCCUGCUCCUGCACGGACAGGCCCCACAGGCAGAAGGAAUCUCGCAACCUGACCCGGCGCUCGGGGCCCUCGGGGCUUUCGGGUUCGCCGCCCUGGCUCCUUCGGGGGUGGCGCUCCCCCAGCCUCAGAGCCUUCCGGGGCCUCCGCACCCGGGCAGAUGCCACGAGGAGCGGGAGCCGCAGCACGCCGGCCUGCCGGGGACGUGCUCCGUGGGACAGCUUGGGCCCGCUCAAGCCGACUCACAGGGGCGAGGUGUGCAGGGUCCCUGGUGGGGCUGGGGCCAGGGGCCCCAGGUGGCCGGGGCGGCAGGGGAACCCCAAGCCGCGCCACCUCCACCUCCGCAGCCCGCACCCCCGGAGGCCUCCGCCUGGCAGGGGCAGAUGCCAGCCCUGCAGGCGCCUUCCCAAGCGCUCCAGGAGCCGGAGGAGCGCUCGUCUGCGCUCACCUCCAGCCUGCUGGACGAGCUCCUGUCGACCCCAGAGUUUCAGCAGCAGGCACGACCUUUCCUAGAGACGGAGCCACUGGGGGAGCUGAAGGAGGUGGAAGAGCUCGCUUCCCUGGAGCCACCCCUCAGCGAGGAAGAAUACCGGGCUCUGCUGGAGGAGCUUUAAAAGCGGCGUGUCUUGGCGUCUCGCCCUCCCGCUGACCUGUCUGGGAUCCCUGAGUGCCAGGUCCGUCCGUCCGGACCAACGGAGGGACCCCACAGCCUUAAAGCAUUUCGGGAGCUCAAUGCGAUGCGUGCCAGUCCUCGUUUCACCCACGGGGUUCACAGACGGCAUAUCCCCACGGCGAACCCUGCAACGGAGCGCGAGGCAGUCUCAUCCCCACAGGGGUCACCCUCGGGCCGAUUGAAGCGUGAUUUCCGACUUCAGCCUGUGAUCGGCUGGGUGUGCGCGUGCGCGCGUGUGCAUGGAUUUGAGGCUCCUGCGGCCUGUCUUGCCGUUUCGCUGACCUGCCUGGGAGCCCUCAGUUCUAGGUCCGUCCGGUGAGAGACAGCACACAGGGCGGGGCUGUGCUGUCAUUCUCUCCCCAGCAUCUAGGGAACCCCAGAACCCGCCCAGGGCCCGGGAGCUGGGCGGUCUAGUGCGCGUGCGCGGGUCUGCAGGCAGCCCGCGGCCGCUUCUGGGGACCAGCGCAGGCAGAGCUGUCGGCCCUCCUCGCAGCCCUGCCCCCACGCCACCCGGCCUACUUCAGGAGGGUGGGCGGAGGGAGCGUUUCGCCCCCCCCCCCCGGAAACACCGGGCCGGGUCCCCAGGCAGGCCGGCUCUCCAUUCCGCUGCACCCCUCUUCUGCCUCCCCGAUUCGCCCACCGAUCACUCGCACACCGGUGCCCCGCCAGCUUCCCCGCCAUCACCGAGUAGCGCCUGGCAGCUCAAUAUAGACCCGAGACCACUCCUCCCACGGCCCCGCUACGAACGACCCCGCGGGCAAACGGAAGGGCUGCUUUCUCCAGGCCGGAGGGAAGGCGGGUAGAGAAGCGGGGAGGAUCCCAGGCCGCGAGGGAGGGACGAGGGAAGGGAGGGAAGGACGCAA